CUCCCUGCGCCUUCUUGAUUUCCACGUCGACUCUUCUUCAGACUUCAGGCCCCUCUCUUUCUUCCUCCGCGGCUAGGUUUUCUUCGAGAAAAGGAUUAAUUUGCAGAUAUUGGGACCCAAAAUUUGGGCGAGUUCGUCGUCUCAGGAGGUCGUUUAUUGGGGAUUCAUGCCCCCCUUGAAUUCUGCCUAAAUUUCGUCAAUUUUGCUUCAGUUCGUGCGUGGUUGGGCAAGUGCCUCUGUUCUUGAUCCGCUCCAUGGGUAUCCAUCAUGGAUGCACACGAAUCCCGGAGACGCAAAGUAGGAGACGUGCCUACCCUCCUCCGGUGAAGGUGAUGUUGCCCCAGCCCGCUUCCGGCAUCAAGCUCACCUGGUUGUGCUCAACCACAACGCCAUGGAAGAACACCUCCGGGCCCAAUGUUUUCUUUGUCGGUCGUGGUGUCGCGGCUUCCUCAUGUAGAGGUAGAGGGGGUGGCUGACAUUGGCUGUGCCGGCAGCAAAUUGGAGAAAAAGUGUGGACGGUAGCGCAGUGCGUCACUGUCUGUUCUUCCUCAUCCUGGCUGCGCGGUUGCGUCCGCCAGGUUUCAUCUUCGUCCAGUGGGCUCGCGCUCUUGGGCGUGUCGAGGUAGUUCCUUGGAUACAGCGGGAGGUUCAGGACUUCCAUCUCGCGGGACAACGCUGGACGGCCGGCGCGCUGUAAGUGUGGAGAACACCUUUGAGAGGUGACCGCCAAUGUCAGCAGGGCUGUUGAACAAUCUCGAGAGGCAGAGAGAAUCACGGUGCUCCAGUAUUUUCGGUUUCUCAUUGUCUUCCUCUUUUUUCAAUUGAAUAUGUGAUUGUUCGAUGAAUUAGAGUUGUUUGGUCCAGCAAUGAUUACAUGAUGGAUGGUGCAAAUCAAUGAUUGACUGUCUGUUCAACUGAUACAGCGUCAAGUUUUUUCUUCAGUGGAGUAGAUGCAAGUUUGCUAUCUGUGGGAAGACACCAGUGUGAGCCUUGAUAUAUUCGUUGGGAUACAGCAGCAGGUUGUCGUCGACUAAGGCUGUAAGGUCUGCUGUUGGGCGUCGAGAUCGGCAGUCGGACUACAGCGUUAGGUAGUCGUCGACUACGUCCUGAAGGAUGAUGUGCUGCCUCCUCUAGAAUACCACUUCAGAAGGUCAGCUGAAACCUGUGUGCACUUGCCAACCUUCUUACUGAAACUUUUCAAUACCAAGUUAUAUGUUUUCCUCGAAUUAUCAUCAUCAGAUAUUGUAGUCUGUGAGUGUGUUCUUACUGUGAGCAAAUGUCAUACCAUGGUUGUAGCUGCACCUGGUGGUAUUAUUUGGAUUAAUUUGUAUUGUAGGAUGGUUGGGAACAAUGAGGAGAUAUGGAGGAUCAAACUUAGACCUAAAGCCAGGAGGUCCAUAUAGAGGGGAAAACGGAUAAAAGCUGCAGGGGCAAAGUUGGUUUAAUGCUUCGAUGUAUACUGUACUGCGUAGUUCCUUGGAAAUUAAUACGCUGCACCCGCACUAUUUGUAGCAAAUAGUUUGCAUUGUCAUAAGGUUGUUUCGAACAGCUGUUUGGGCAUAGAGGCUGUUUCGGUAAAGCUUAGAAGUUCAAAUCAUUGUAUUGCUUAACAUGAAUAAAAGAACUAAGUGCAUAUAGAUCAAGGAAUGGAUUAUGUGUCAUUUUCACUAAUCUCAUAACAGUCUAGGAUAUGUUGUUUAGAACUAUGAUUAACUAUAACUCCACAGUAAUAUAUUUGUUGGUUUUUAGUUCACUUGAACUGAAUGACAACGGACAUACCUAGCUUCAGAAUGAUUAUUUGGAGUAACUUUGAUCUGUUCUUAGUAUGUUCUGGCAUACUUUUUCUUUUGUUAGCUUAUGCUUCACAGUUAUGCAUCAUAAUCGAAUUUUUUUCUCAGCUAUUGGAUUUUAUAAAUGAUGCCAUGUCAACCUCUGUGCAUGCCUAUUAUUUCCUGCUGCUGUAUUAUUGUGUUCAUCUUAUAAGACAAGGUAAGCUUCUGCCUGCAUGUCUCAACUUGGCAUUCAUUUUGCUGUUUUAUUUUGGCUAUGGAGGUGAGGAAUUAUAAGAUACAUUUGUAAGAUUGGUUUGUUGAGUUACUAUAUAUAUGCUUGUGUGUGUGCUACUGUUUUAAUUUUGUAAUGCUCUGUUUCAUGGAGCAAUGGCUGCUGCGUAGGUUGGUUAUCAUUUCAGAUACAUGUUCUUUUUCCUGUUUAGAGGUUAGUUUUGUUAGGCUGUCAUUUUGCUUCAUGUAGAAUAUUCAAUGCUGAGUUGGCUGUGGUUGACAUGAACCGAGUUCAAGACUUUGUUGGUCUAUGCAGAUGAACGGAAAUCUGAAGAAGUGAAGAUUGACAGGGCCAGAAAAAAAUUAUUUAUACUUUCUGAUGUACAAGGUUCCCUUCAAUGCCUAUUUGUGCAUACAUUUUUCCUCUUGAAAAAUUGAACUGAUCCUUAAAGCAAUGCCUACAGUAUGAUAUAUGCAUUUGCUUUAAUGUUUUGCAGGAAAUAAACACUGAUCUUGGCAUAUUCAGAAAGUUAGCUUCCCUAUUUGCAUCUUGCAUCUAAUGAACUAUUCGUAUCAUAGCAGUUGCGCAUACCGAACAUUUCGUGUUUCAGUAUCUGAACUAAUCGGAACUACUUCUCUAGCAGUAGCAUCAUGAAGCAGCACACAAACCCCAGCAGACCCAGAAAAAAUCUGCAGUACUCUCUCCGCCUGAAGAAAUGCCAAAUGCACCAGAAGAUAGCAAAGCUUGAGGAGCUGCGCCGGCCAGAGAUAUCAUGGAGACAGUAGCCUUGGAUGUAGAAGUAAAUGAAGAUUACUGGGAUGUCAGCUCCACGAUUGGAAAAAAGAAGAGGAAGGCCAAGGCAUCAGCCGGCCAGAGAUAUCAUGGAGACAGCAGCCUCGGAUGUAGAAAUAAGACUCCACGACUGAAAAUAAGAAGAGAAAGGCCAAGUCAUCAGCUGCUACACCAACCAAGAAGCAGAUCAACGAGUAACUCUUCCCACACAAAUAAAGUUGUUAGCACUCCGAGCACACCGGAGAUCUAUCUACAAGAACAGAUCAAUUCAGCUUGAGAACCCAAAGCAAAAAAGUAGUACUGCGAACUUGCCUACCGUCCUAGCCAGCAAGUGCUCUCGACGUACUGCAAGUUAAAUAGUUGCUAAUUAACUAUGUAUAAUUCUCUCAGAUGCACUCUUCUCCUGUAAUAGUCUGCUUGCUAGAGUUGACCACUCUGAAUGUUAUGUAUAUUAUUGACCUAAUUACUGUUCCAAGCUUUCAGCUAGCAUGAGCCUUCAGCAUGUCCCAACACGGAGCAUCUGCUGCGUAUUAAAGCUACACUACCCUCUGCUCAUGAGUCACCCUGCUUAUCAGAGGGAGGUCAUCAAGCUCGUCUUAAUUUUUUUAACCACAGUUCCAAGCAAGGAGCUGUUGGAGCUGGACGGGAGUAGUAGUAAUAUGCUGGUCCAAGGCGGGGAAGGUCAGAUGAGAGAGUUAGAAACAAAAAGAAUGCGAGGGAGACGGAGAAAAGAUGAAUGCGAGACUUGGAGGAGCGUCCGGGUGGUGCCGCGUGUCCUGGCGGUG